rnacentral:rRNA from 1 species
GAUGAACGCUAGCGACAGGCUUAACACAUGCAAGUCGAGGGGCAUCAUGAGGUAGCAAUACCUUGAUGGCGACCGGCGCACGGGUGAGUAACGCGUAUGCAACCUGCCCGAUACCGGGGUAUAGCCCAUGGAAACGUGGAUUAACACCCCAUAGUACUUUUAUCCUGCCUGGGAUGGGAGUUAAAUGUUCAAGGUAUCGGAUGGGCAUGCGUCCGAUUAGUUAGUUGGCGGGGUAACAGCCCACCAAGACGAUGAUAGGUAGGGGUUCUGAGAGGAAGGUCACCCACAUUGGAUCUGAGAUACGGUGCAAACUCCGACGGGAGGCAGCAGUAAGGAAUAUUGGUCAAUGGUCGUAAGUCUGAACCCGGCAAGUCGCGUGAGGGAAGACUGCCCUAUGGGUUGUAAACCUCUUUUAUAAGGGAAGAAUAAGUUCUACGUGUAGAAUGAUGCCUGUACCUUAUGAAUAAGCAUCGGCUAACUCCGUGCCAGCCACCGCAGUAA